rnacentral:rRNA from 1 species
UACCAGCACCCCGAGUGGUCGGGACGUUUAUUGGGCCUAAAGCAUCCGUAGCCGGUUCUACAAGUCUUCCGUUAAAUCCAUCUGCCUAACAGAUGGGCUGCGGAAGAUACUAUAGAGCUAGGAGGCGGGAGAGGCAAGCGGUACUCGAUGGGUAGGGGUAAAAUCCGUUGAUCCAUUGAAGACCACCAGUGGCGAAGGCGGCUUGCCAGAACGCGCUCGACGGUGAGGGAUGAAAGCUGGGGGAGCAAACCGG